CCCAUUUCUUCUUCUUUCUCUUCUCCCUCCCUCCCGAUUUUUCUUCUCUUCUCACCCGGUUUUCCCCUCUCUACACCCAGAAGAAUUUCCGGCCGUCCUCCCGCCGCCGUCCGGCCACCAACCGCCGCCGCACCAGCCCAGAUCGGACCCCCGUCACCUCCUCUCCCUCCCGGCCUAGUGUCCGAGCCGGUGGUGCCGCCGAAGAGGAGAAAAAAGCCGCCGGAACCGCCGACUGUCCAAGGCUUCCCUUCGCCGGAACUUCCUCCUCCGGCCACCAAUCCGGGCAAGCUUGGUACGGUUUUGUAGCCCUCCUCCCGUGCAACAACCCCUCCAAGCAGCUCCCUCCCUCUUGAGCUAGGUAAGGAGAAAUUUGAGGUGGAAGUUUUAUGGUGUUUAAGUUGUUUUCGUUCGAUUAGCCUAGUUAGGCUUGGAAUUGGGUGAUGUGUUAGUCAUGAAAGUUGUAGAGGAGAUUGAGAGGAAGAUUCUGUUAAAAUUUGGUAGCAUUUGCAGGUCGCUGGAAAACGGCUGCCGGCCGCCGCUGCCGGAGGAGCCGCCGGCGGCGCCGCCGCCGGUUAGGAGAUUUUUAUGGUUUUUGAUGUAGAAUAUUAAGGGGAUAUUAUUGAAGUGAAUUAUGGAAUUUUUGGAUGAGAUUUGGAUAGGUUUGUGAAUUUCCGAAGUUUGGUAUUUUUGACGGUUAAUUAAUGUAGAAUCCGGCCGUAGGAUUUAAGUCGUAUUUUGGGGAGGUUGUAUUUACGACUAUUGAGUAUGAUAUUUAAGUUCGGAUUGUUCCGAUGUUAGAAUAUCGAAGUUAGGCAAUGAUGAGCGUAAUAAUGGCUCUCGGGUAAUUUUGCCUAUUUUGAUUAAAUAUUGGAUAUUGGUUGGGAAAUUAAUAUUAUAUUUGGAACAGGACGUGAAGAGGCUCGAGCAGACGAGACCCCAGAUUGACAUCAGGCUUAGGCCUAAUUCGUGAGUGGACGUUUAUUUUAAAUAAAUGCAUGCUAUAGUUCAUGGUUGAACAAUUAAUAUUGCGGAAUAUUUUAACGUCAUUUUAAUUUGACGAUUUUUAUUUUCUCUUGGAGAGCUACCGAAAAUGGGAUUUUCGGU
rnacentral:lncRNA from 1 species